rnacentral:rRNA from 1 species
CCUACGGGUGGCAGCAGUGAGGAAUAUUGGUCAAUGGACGCCAGUCUGAACCAGCCAUGCCGCGUGCAGGAAGACGGCUCUAUGAGUUGUAAACUGCUUUUGUACGAGGGUAAACGCAGAUACGCGUAUCUGUCUGCAAGUAUCUUACGAAUAAGGAUCGGCUAACUCCGUGCCAGCAGCCGCGGUAAUACGGAGGAUUCAAGCGUUAUCCGGAUUUAUUGGGUUUAACGGGUGCGUAGGCGGUCGGGUAAGUUAGAGGUGAAAUCCCGAGGCUCAACUUCGGAAUUGCCUCUGAUACUGGGAGGCUAGAGAGUAGUUGAGGUAGGCGGAAUGUAUGGUGUAGCGGUGAAAUGCUUAGAGAUCAGACAGAACACCGAUUGCGAAGGCAGCUUACCAAGCUACUACUGACGUUGAGGCACGAAAGCGUGGGGAGCAAACAGGAUUAGAUACCCGAGUAGUC